GAUGUAUCCACACUAGCUCGGUUGAUGGUUGAAACAACAAAACACACAUAUUUCCAGUUGGUAUAUCGCCUCAUUGAGUUGACACUCAUUCUUCCUAUGGCCACUUCAUCGGUUGAGGGAAUAUUUUCGGCAAUGAAGAUCAUCAAGACAGAUAUGCGCAACAAACUAUCAUAUGAUUGGCUAAAUGAUUUAAUAGUGUGCUACUGUGAGGUAGAGAUAUUCAAAAGCAUUCAUGAUGACCAAAAAACGAGGGAUCGGAAAGGACAUUGGCCUCAUGAGUUUAAUGUGAUUCCUUAUAUGUUAGUGUUACUAGUUUAA
rnacentral:rRNA from 1 species